UACGUAGGGUGCGAGCGUUGUCCGGAAUUAUUGGGCGUAAAGAGCUCGUAGGCGGUGUGUCGCGUCGGCCGUGAAAACCUGCAGCUUAACUGUGGGCUUGCGGUCGAUACGGGCAUCACUGGAGUUCGGCAGGGGAGGCUGGAAUUCCUGGUGUAGCGGUGAAAUGCGCAGAUAUCAGGAGGAACACCGGUGGCGAAGGCGGGUCUCUGGGCCGAUACUGACGCUGAGGAGCGAAAGCGUGGGGAGCGAACAGG
rnacentral:rRNA from 1 species